CUUCCAGUGGCAGCAAAGAAAAAAUUCUGAAUUCAAUUACUUCUCGUAGUUUCAAGUCAUCUUCAAAAACUGAUGAACCUUCCACUCCCAACACAGUCGAAUUUAAAGAACGUUUUCUUACAAAGGAUCACAAAAUUAAAGAUAGCGUCCAUGAAAAUUUGAAAAGUUUUCCUUGGCUUUGUGGCAAGUAUGGUACAUCACGUCCUACUGAUGAGAUGAAUUAUCGUCACAUGUAUCUUGAAGUUGACGAAUCAAAGACUGAGGAUGUUUUAAAGCAAGAAAUCGAU